AUUGAACGCUGGCGGAAUGCUUUACACAUGCAAGUCGAACGGCAGCACGGACUUCGGUCUGGUGGCGAGUGGCGAACGGGUGAGUAAUGUAUCGGAACGUGCCCAGUCGUGGGGGAUAACGUAGUGUAAAUUACGCUAAUACCGCAUACGAUCUAUGGAUGAAGGCGGGGGAUCGCAAUACCUCGCGCGAUUGGAGCGGCCGAUAUCAGAUUAGGUAGUUGGUGGGGUAAAGGCCCACCAAGCCAACGAUCUGUAGCUGGUCUGAGAGGACGACCAGCCACACUGGAACUGAGACACGGUCCAGACUCCUACGGGAGGCAGCAGUGGGGAAUUUUGGACAAUGGGCGAAAGCCUGAUCCAGCCAUUCCGCGUGCAGGAUGAAGGCCCUCGGGUUGUAAACUGCUUUUGUACAGAACGAAAAGGUUUCUACUAAUACUAGGAGCUCAUGACGGUACUGUAAGAAUAAGCACCGGCUAACUACGUGCCAGCCGCCGCGGUAA
rnacentral:rRNA from 1 species